rnacentral:lncRNA from 1 species
ACCACUGCAGGUUACUCUCUGAAUCAACAUAUGAAACAUAAUUUCAUUGUCUUUCCUCCCCCUUUCUUCUAGGCCUUGAGCGGUAAUUAUAAAGACUUCAAAUCUCCCUAGUGACAUCAGCUGGUUAAAAAACUUUGGAUCACUGGAUUAAUGUAACCCAGAGCCUGCUUUUGGCAGUGUUAUUCACACUCCAGACAAGGCAGAAGAACAGAGGGAGUGAAGAUGUCAAAGGAGUAAGACCAAGACAGAGGGACUUAAAACCAGGUAAGAAUUGAGGCAGAAGCAGUGAAGUCUUUAACAGACUGGUUUGUGUAACAACCUUU